rnacentral:rRNA from 1 species
UACUCGAGUGGCGAACGGGUGAGUAACACGUGGGUGAUCUGCCCUGCACUUCGGGAUAAGCUUGGGAAACUGGGUCUAAUGCCGGAUAGGAACCAUCUUUAGUGUGGUGGUUGGAAAGUUUUUUCGGUGUAGGAUGAGCUCGCGGCCUAUCAGCUUGUUGGUGGGGUAAUGGCCUACCAAGGCGGCGACGGGUAGCCGGCCUGAGAGGGUGUACGGCCACAUUGGGACUGAGAUACGGCCCAG